UACGAAGGGGGCUAGCGUUGUUCGGAAUUACUGGGCGUAAAGCGCGCGUAGGCGGUGAUCCAUGUCAGAGGUGAAAGCCUGGGCUCAACCCCAGAAUUGCCUUGAAACGGGAUCGCUAGAGUCCGAGAGAGGAUGGCGGAAUUCCUAGUGUAGAGGUGAAAUUCGUAGAUAUUAGGAAGAACACCGGUGGCGAAGGCGGCCAUCUGGCUCGGUACUGACGCUCAGGCGCGAAAGCGUGGGGAGCA
rnacentral:rRNA from 1 species